rnacentral:rRNA from 1 species
GUGUUAUCCGCAUGUGAAUACAUAGCAUGUGAGAAGGUAGACCCGGAGAACUGAAACAUCUUAGUACCCGGAGGAAGAGAAAGAAAAAUCGAUUCCCUGAGUAGCGGCGAGCGAAACGGGAAGAGCCCAAACCAACAAGCUUGCUUGUUGGGGUUGUAGGACACUCUGUACGGAGUUACAAAGGAAUAUGUUAGACGAAUAACCUGGAAAGGUUAAUCAUAGAAGGUAAUAAUCCUGUAGUCGAAAACAUAUACCCUCCUGAGUGGAUCCUGAGUACGGCGGAGCACGUGAAAUUCCGUCGGAAUCUGGGAGGACCAUCUCCCAAGGCUAAAUACUCUCUAGUGACCGAUAGUGAACCAGUACCGUGAGGGAAAGGUGAAAAGCACCCCGGAAGGGGAGUGAAAGAGAACUUGAAACCGUGUGCUUACAAGUAGUCAGAGCCCGUUAAUGGGUGAUGGCGUGCCUUUUGUAGAAUGAACCGGCGAGUUACGAUCUGAUGCAAGGGUAAGCAGA